GCCCGCCUAGCUCAAUCGGCCAGAGCGUCAGACUUUUAGGACUGUUCCUUUCAAAGGCAACCCUCUUACGAUCUGAAUGUUGCGAGUUCGAGUCUCGCGGUGGGCU